rnacentral:tRNA from 1 species
UCCCUGGUGGCUCAGUGGGUUAAGGAUAUGGUGUUGUCACUACUGUGGCUCAGGUUCAAUCCCUGGCCCGGGAA